rnacentral:rRNA from 1 species
UACGAAGGGGGCGAGCGUUGUUCGGAAUCAUUGGGCGUAAAGGGCGCGUAGGCGGGCUUGUAAGUCGGUUGUGAAAUCCCUGGGCUUAACCUGGGAAUUGCAUUCGAAACUGCAAGUCUUGAGUUCUCGAGAGGAUGGUGGAAUUCCUGGAGUAGUAGUGAAAUACGUAGAUAUCAGGAGGAACACCGGAGGCGAAGGCGGCCAUCUGGCGAGACACUGACGCUAAGGCGCGAAAGCGUGGGUAGCAAACAGG